AACAAUUGGAGAUCAGAUACCAAAAAAAACGAGGCGUAACCGAAAAGCCAGAUGAGUAGGGUUUUA
rfam:Flavobacterium columnare ATCC 49512, complete genome.